rnacentral:rRNA from 1 species
ACGAACGCUGGCGGCGUGCUUAACACAUGCAAGUCGAGCGGUAAGGCCCUUUCGGGGGUACGACGAGCGGCGAACGGGUGAGUAACACGUGGGUGACCUGCCCUUAGCUCUGGGAUAAGCCUGGGAAACUGGGUCUAAUACCGGAUAUGACUCCAUGACGCAUGUUGUGGGGUGGAAAGCCUUGUGCGGCUAGGGAUGGGCCCGCGGCCUAUCAGCUUGUUGGUGGGGUGAUGGCCUACCAAGGCGACGACGGGUAGCCGGCCUGAGAGGGCGACCGGCCACACUGGGACUGAGACACGGCCCAGACUCCUACGGGAGGCAGCAGUGGGGAAUCUUGCGCAAUGGCGAAAGCCUGACGCAGCGACGCCGCGUGAGGGAUGACGGCCUCGG